CAAUUUAGGAUAAAUAUUUUGCAAUCUCCCACAAAGGAGAGUGAAUCUUAAUAUGCUGCUUGCUUACCUUGCUUCCAGUUUGGUUCUUCUCUUUGCUUAUUAUUACUUAAGCUUUCGACUUGGUUCUUUGAUUAUCCUUGGAUUUCUUAUAAAAUUCCUAAUUCUUUUUAAUUGGGUGUAUUAUUUGUUAUCUUUGACAGAACGAAACCAUGGUAGCAAUUAAAGCUCCACGUGGCACUACUUUGGAAGUCUCAGAUCCUGAUGAGGUAAUCCCAUAAGCAGACGCCGGUCGAUCAAGUACAAAAUGCAUAAUUUUUGUGCAGGCAUACUCAAUAUGGGCUAUUAACUAUCCCCAAAGGAGAUACAGGAUAGUCCUUAGAAGUACAAUGGGUCCCAUAGAUGUUUAUCUUGUCAGGCACUGUUCCUUCUUAUGCGUUUUAUAUGACUGGUGAGACAAACUUCACAUUAGUGGAAUGGUUUUUCCAUUGAAUUUUUUAAGACUUUUAAAUAACUAUUCUGAUCCCUCUCCCCGUUGCCCCUUCACAUUAAUUAAUUAAUCUGCCAUUAUUUUGAAUGUUACCUAUUGGUGGGAUACAAAAUUCAUGUAAAACCUGCCUUCAGUUAUGUAUAAGCUCUUUAUCAGUUUGUUGGUCUCAGUCUUUGAUGGUUUGGAAAAUUAGGAACAACUGCUCUUGCGGAAAGAAUUUCUAAUUCGGUACAAACAAUUCAAUUGUUCAAAAGAUACUAGAUUGCAUAUAUAAACUUGCAAAAUUCGCUUUAAAGUGCCUAAUGAUUGACCUUGAAUUAGUUUAUCUAAUAUAGCUGUGAUGAAUUAUUUGCCAGUGGUCUGUUCUUGCUUCAAUGAAUCAUCUCUAAUGUAUUUUUUAUUUAUUCUAGUGCUAUAGGGUAGUGUUGACAGUUGAUGCACACACCCAUAUGUGCCAUAUGGUAGUGUUGUAAAAUGCAUCUGUCAUCACAAAUAAUCUUUAGACUGCAAAGGAGCUAAGAAAUAAUGUCACUUUAGUCAUAAGGGCAACAUUAGUAGUUUGUGCAUAAUUCAAAACUGUUGUUUCAGCACUCCUCAAGGCUGCAAGAAAGAUUAAUUUUAGAGAUAUUUGAAGCCAAAUAGCCUGCAACUGAAAGAUUGGUGAUCUAGGCCUUGCAGCAAUCAUACAGGGUUCUCAAUCAGCACAUAAUGUCAUAGUAGCAUUUGUUAGGCACCCUAGAAUUCAUGGCACCAGAAUUAUACGAAUGGUAUUACAAUAAGCUUGUUGAUAUUUACUCAAUUUGGUAGGUGUGUUUUAGAGAUGCUUACAUCUGAAUACCUUUAUGGUGAAUGUGUUAACCCGGCACAAAUUUACAAGAAAGCGACUUCGGUAAAUCAUGAUGCCAAGAUUUAUAAUUAUUAUCAAGCUAGAGUAUGACAUUCAUACCAUUUCAGUUAUGCAGGGAAAGCUUUCUGCUGCAUUCUAUCAGAUUCAGGACUUAAAGAAGAGCGGCUUAUUGAUGCCUAUCAUACAUUCAACUACCAAGAAGAUGAUGGGACUAAUCAUCCUUUCAAUUCUUUCUCCUUUUGUUCAUUAUCUCAAGCAUCCAUUUACCCAUUCAAUUUCUGAGAAUUUGAUGUUUAAUCCAUUUAUUGUGGAAUGUGGAAUUAGAAAACCAUCAAAUAUAUGUAUAUAAAUUAUUUUUCUCAAUAGUAUAGAGAAUUUAAUAUUUUCAUAUUAA